AGUAUAAGCAAUUAUACCGUGAAACUGCGAAUGGCUCAUUAAAUCAGUUAUCGUUUAUUUGAUAGUACCUUACUACUUGGAUAACCGUGGUAAUUCUAGAGCUAAUACAUGCUAAAAACCCCGACUUCGGGAGGGGUGUAUUUAUUAGAUAAAAAACCAAUGCCCUUCGGGGCUCCUUGGUGAAUCAUAAUAACUUAACGGAUCGCAUGGCCUUGCGCCGGCGACGGUUCAUUCAAAUUUCUGCCCUAUCAACUUUCGAUUGUAGGGUAUUGGCCUACAAUGGUAUCAACGGGUAACGGGGAAUUAGGGUUCGAUUCCGGAGAGGGAGCCUGAGAAACGGCUACCACAUCCAAGGAAGGCAGCAGGCGCGCAAAUUACCCAAUCCCGACACGGGGAGGUAGUGACAAUAAAUACUGAUACAGGGCUCUUUUGGGUCUUGUAAUUGGAAUGAGUACAAUUUAAAUCCCUUAACGAGGAACAAUUGGAGGGCAAGUCUGGUGCCAGCAGCCGCGGUAAUUCCAGCUCCAAUAGCGUAUAUUAAAGUUGUUGCAGUUAAAAAGCUCGUAGUUGAACCUUGGGUCUGGCUGGCCGGUCCGCCUCACCGCGUGCACUGGUCCGGCCGGACCUUUCCUUCUGGAGAACCGCAUGCCCUUCACUGGGUGUGCCGGGGAACCAGGACUUUUACUUUGAAAAAAUUAGAGUGUUCAAAGCAGGCCUUUGCUCGAAUACAUUAGCAUGGAAUAAUAGAAUAGGACGUGCGGUCCUAUUUUGUUGGUUUCUAGGACCGCCGUAAUGAUUAAUAGGGAUAGUCGGGGGCAUCAGUAUUCAAUUGUCAGAGGUGAAAUUCUUAGAUUUAUUGAAGACUAACUACUGCGAAAGCAUUUGCCAAGGAUGUUUUCAUUAAUCAGUGAACGAAAGUUAGGGGAUCGAAGACGAUCAGAUACCGUCGUAGUCUUAACCGUAAACUAUGCCGACUAGGGAUCGGGCGAUGUUAUUCUUUUGACUCGCUCGGCACCUUACGAGAAAUCAAAGUUUUUGGGUU
rnacentral:rRNA from 1 species